rnacentral:rRNA from 1 species
UGGGGAAUAUUGGACAAUGGGCGCAAGCCUGAUCCGGCCAUGCCGCGUGUGUGAAGAAGGCCUUUUGGUUGUAAAGCACUUUAAGCGAGGAGGAGGCUACUUGGAUUAAUACUCUAGGAUAGUGGACGUUACUCGCAGAAUAAGCACCGGCUAACUCUGUGCCAGCAGCCGCGGUAAUACAGAGGGUGCGAGCGUUAAUCGGAUUUACUGGGCGUAAAGCGUGCGUAGGCGGCUUCUUAAGUCGGAUGUGAAAUCCCUGAGCUUAACUUAGGAAGUGCAUUCGAUACUGGGAAGCUAGAGUAUGGGAGAGGAUGGUAGAAUUCCAGGUGUAGCGGUGAAAUGCGUAGAGAUCUGGAGGAAUACCGAUGGCGAAGGCAGCCAUCUGGCCUAAUACUGACGCUGAGGUACGAAAGCAUGGGGAGCAAACAGG